rnacentral:rRNA from 1 species
GACAAACGCUGGCGGCGUGUAUUAGGCAUGCAAGUCGCACGGACCUUCGGGUCAGUGGCGGACGGGUGAGUAACACGUGGGUAACCUGCCCUGCAGUGGGGAAUAACCCGUCGAAAGACGGGCUAAUACCGCAUAUUACUCUCGGUGAGAAUCCGGGAAGUAAAAGCAGCAAUGCGCUGUAGGAGGGGCCCGCGGCCGAUUAGCUAGUUGGUGAGGUAACGGCCCACCAAGGCGACGAUCGGUAGCUGGUCUGAGAGGAUGGUCAGCCACACGGGGACUGAGAUACGGCCCCGACUCCUACGGGAGGCAGCAGCUAAGAAUCUUGCGCAAUGGGCGAAAGCCUGACGCAGCAACGCCGCGUGGAGGACGAAGGCCCUCGGGUCGUAAACUCCUUUUGCGAGGGAAGAAGAUCUGACGGUACCUCGCGAAUAAGCCACGGCUAACUACGUGCCAGCAGCCGCGGUAAUGUGUGACUG